rnacentral:ncRNA from 1 species
UAAAAGUUUUAUUCUUGCUUGGAAAUUUAUUUUAACAUUACUAUAUAUGUAAGUUUUUGCGUAAUUUAUUAAUCUUAAUGGUUAAUAUAAUAAGUUGAUUUUGCAGUAUGGAAUAUUAUAAAUUUAAUGAAUUUUGAUUUAGUAAUUGUUAAUAAAUGUUGAUAAAAUAUGUGCCAGCAGUCGCGGUUAUACAUAAAAUAUAAGUAAAUGUUUUCAGUUAAGAUAGUUAAUUGUAUAUAAUUUGAAUUUAGGUUGAAUAUUAUUGGGUGAAAUGUUAAUAUUUGGUUGAGAUUUAAUUUAAAUUGAUUAUGGUUUGAAGCUGUGAAAUCUAAAUUAUUUAAACUAGGAUUAGAUACCCUAUUAUUUUAGAUGUAAAUUAAUUAAACUUGAGUAGUAGUAGUUAAGGUCUUGAAACUUAAAGAAUUUGGCGGUAUUUUAGUCUAUUUAGAGGAAUCUGUUCCAUAAUCGAUAAUCCACGUUGGACCUUACUUAAUUUAUUAAAUAUGUAUACCGCCGUUGUUGAAAAUCUUUUUAGGGGAAAAAUUUUUAUAAUAUUUGUUAAAUAAUUUUUCAGGUCAAGGUGCAGUUUAUAGUUAAGUGGAAAUGGAUUACAAUAUUUUAAUAUAUACGAAUUAUUAUUUGAAAUUAAUGAUAUGAAGGUGGAUUUAAUAGUAAUGUUAUUAAGAUUAAUAGCGUGAUUGUAGCUCUAGAAUAUGUACACAUCGCCCGUCGCUCUCGUUAUAUUAAGGCGAGAUAAGUCGUAACAUAGUAGUUGUACCGGAAGGUGUAACUAGAAUGAAU